rnacentral:rRNA from 1 species
AUGAACGCUGGCGGCGUGCCUAAUACCUGCAAGUAGAACGCUGAAGGCGGAGCUUGCUCUUCUGGAUGAGUUGCGAACGGGUGAGUAACGCGUAGGUAACCUGCCUGGUAGCGGGGGAUAACUAUUGGAAACGAUAGCUAAUACCGCAUGACAACAGUUAUUGCAUGAUAACUGUUUAAAAGGGGCAACUGCUCCACUACCAGAUGGACCUGCGUUGUAUUAGCUAGUUGGUGAGGUAACGGCUCACCAAGGCGACGAUACAUAGCCGACCUGAGAGGGUGAUCGGCCACACUGGGACUGAGACACGGCCCAGACCCCUACGGGAGGCAGCAGUAGGGAAUCUUCGGCAAUGGACGGAAGUCUGACCGAGCAACGCCGCGUGAGUGAAGAAGGUUUUCGGAUCGUAAAGCUCUGUUGUAAGAGAAGAACGAGUGUGAGAGUGGAAAGUUCACACUGUGACGGUAUCUUACCAGAAAGGGACGGCUAACUACGUG